rnacentral:tRNA from 1 species
GUCCCCAUCGUCUAGCCUGGCCUAGGACACCGCCCUUUCACGGCGAUAACAGGGGUUCGAAUCCCCUUGGGGACGCCA